GCCCCUCGGCGUGCAGGCCCCCAGGGCCUUCUCAGGGACAACCAGGAGAAGACGAAGAUGAAAUUACAAAACCCAGAAGGCUGAAAGAGGAAGUCAGUCAGUCAGUCUACAGUCAUUACAAAACCCUGAAGACAAGACUGGAGGAGGAAGUCAGUCUAGUGUCAUCCCAAGAGGAGGCGGCCUGAGGUGCCAGCCAUCCACAGUCCACUCUUAUUCUCCCGUCCACUGAAGAAGGCACCAAGUAAGAGUUGCAAGGCAGAAGUGUGAGCUACAGAAAAAAGUGGCAAGAUGCAGUGUGGAGGGCCAGUUUCUCAAGAUGAGCCGGAGCAAGGCUGCC